rnacentral:rRNA from 1 species
UGAGGAAUAUUGGUCAAUGGACGAGAGUCUGAACCAGCCAAGUAGCGUGCAGGAAGACGGCCCUCCGGGUUGUAAACUGCUUUUAGUUGGGAAUAAAGUUCGGGACGUGUCCCGAUUUGUAUGUACCAUCAGAAAAAGGACCGGCUAAUUCCGUGCCAGCAGCCGCGGUAAUACGGAAGGUCCGGGCGUUAUCCGGAUUUAUUGGGUUUAAAGGGAGCGCAGGCGGGCUUUUAAGUCAGUUGUGAAAUACGGCGGCUCAACCGUCGGACUGCAGUUGAAACUGGAAGUCUUGAGUUCACACAGGGAUGCCGGAAUUCAUGGUGUAGCGGUGAAAUGCUCAGAUAUCAUGAAGAACUCCGAUUGCGAAGGCAGCUCACGGGAGCGCAACUGACGCUGA